rnacentral:tRNA from 1 species
GGCGCCAUAGCCAAGUGGUAAGGCAAAGGUCUGCAAAACCUUCAUUCGUCGAUUCGAAUUCGACUGGCGCCUCCA